rnacentral:rRNA from 1 species
ACCCGCUGAAUUUAAGCAUAUCAAUAAGCGGAGGAAAAGAAACCAACAGGGAUUGCCUUAGUAACGGCGAGUGAAGCGGCAAAAGCUCAAAUUUGAAAUCGGCCACCAGGUCGAGUUGUAAUUUGUAGAUUGUAUCUUGAGAGCGGAUUAAAGUCUGUUGGAACACAGCGCCUUAGAGGGUGACAGCCCCGUAAAAUCUAUUCUCAUUGUAAGAUACUUUCGAAGAGUCGAGUUGUUUGGGAAUGCAGCUCUAAGUGGGAGGUAAAUUCCUUCUAAAGCUAAAUAUUGACGAGAGACCGAUAGCGAACAAGUACUGUGAAGGAAAGAUGAAAAGCACUUUGAAAAGAGAGUGAAAAAGUACGUGAAAUUGUUAAAAGGGAAGGGUAUUGAAUCAGACUUGGUGCUGUUGUUCAACUGUGUUUCGGCAUAGUGUACUCAGCAGUACUAGGCCAAGGUGGGGUGUUUGGGAGUGAAAAAGAAGUAGGAACGUAACUCUUCGGAGUGUUAUAGCCUACUUUCAUAGCUCCUCAGGCGCCUCAGGACUGCGCUUCGGCAAGGACCUUGGCAUAAUGAUUCUAUACCGCCCGUCUUGAAACACGGACCAAGGAG